GAUCCUGGCUCAGGAUGAACGCUAGCUACAGGCUUAACACAUGCAAGUCGAGGGGAAACGGCAUCGAAAGCUUGCUUUUGAUGGGCGUCGACCGGCGCACGGGUGAGUAACGCGUAUCCAACCUGCCCACCACUUGGGGAUAACCUUGCGAAAGUAGGACUAAUACCCAAUGAUAUCUCUAGAAGACAUCUGAAAGAGAUUAAAGAUUCAUCGGUGAUGGAUGGGGAUGCGU
rnacentral:rRNA from 1 species